GGGUUGUGAGGUUAAGCGACUAAGCGUACACGGUGGAUGCCCUGGCAGUCAGAGGCGAUGAAGGACGUGCUAAUCUGCGAAAAGCGUCGGUAAGGUGAUAUGAACCGUUAUAACCGGCGAUGUCCGAAUGGGGAAACCCAGUGCAAUUCGUUGCACUAUCGUUAACUGAAUACAUAGGUUAACGAGGCGAACCGGGGGAACUGAAACAUCUAAGUACCCCGAGGAAAAGAAAUCAACCGAGAUUCCCCCAGUAGCGGCGAGCGAACGGGGAGCAGCCCAGAGUCUGAAUCAGCUUGUGUGUUAGUGGAACGGUCUGGAAAGUCCGACGGUACAGGGUGAUAGUCCCGUACACCAAAAUGCACAGGCUGUGAACUCGAAGAGUAGGGCGGGACACGUGGUAUCCUGUCUGAAUAUGGGGGGACCAUCCUCCAAGGCUAAAUACUCCUGACUGACCGAUAGUGAACCAGUACCGUGAGGGAAAGGCGAAAAGAACCCCGGCGAGGGGAGUGAAAAAGAACCUGAAACCGUGUACGUACAAGCAGUGGGAGCACCUUCGGGUGUGACUGCGUACCUUUUGUAUAAUGGGUCAGCGACUUAUAUUCUGUAGCAAGGUUAACCAUAUAGGGGAGCCGCAGGGAAACCGAGUCUUAACUGGGCGUUAAGUUGCAGGGUAUAGACCCGAAACCCGGUGAUCUAGCCAUGGGCAGGUUGAAGGUUGGGUAACACUAACUGGAGGACCGAACCGACUAAUGUUGAAAAAUUAGCGGAUGACUUGUGGCUGGGGGUGAAAGGCCAAUCAAACCGGGAGAUAGCUGGUUCUCCCCGAAAGCUAUUUAGGUAGCGCCUCGUGAAUUCAUCUUCGGGGGUAGAGCACUGUUUCGGCUAGGGGGUCAUCCCGACUUACCAACCCGAUGCAAACUACGAAUACCGAAGAAUGUUAUCACGGGAGACACACGGCGGGUGCUAACGUCCGUCGUGAAGAGGGAAACAACCCAGACCGCCAGCUAAGGUCCCAAAGUCAUGGUUAAGUGGGAAACGAUGUGGGAAGGCACAGACAGCCAGGAUGUUGGCUUAGAAGCAGCCAUCAUUUAAAGAAAGCGUAAUAGCUCACUGGUCGAGUCGGCCUGCGCGGAAGAUGUAACGGGGCUAAACCAUGCACCGAAGCUGCGGCAGCGACACUAUGUGUUGUUGGGUAGGGGAGCGUUCUGUAAGCCUGCGAAGGUGACCUGUGAGGGUUGCUGGAGGUAUCAGAAGUGCGAAUGCUGACAUAAGUAACGAUAAAGCGGGUGAAAAGCCCGCUCGCCGGAAGACCAAGGGUUCCUGUCCAACGUUAAUCGGGGCAGGGUGAGUCGACCCCUAAGGCGAGGCCGAAAGGCGUAGUCGAUGGGAAACAGGUUAAUAUUCCUGUACUUGGUGUUACUGCGAAGGGGGGACGGAGAAGGCUAUGUUAGCCGGGCGACGGUUGUCCCGGUUUAAGCAUGUAGGCUGGUUAUCCAGGCAAAUCCGGAUAAUCAAGGCUGAGGUGUGAUGACGAGGCACUACGGUGCUGAAGUAACAAAUGCCCUGCUUCCAGGAAAAGCCUCUAAGCAUCAGGUAACAUUGAAUCGUACCCCAAACCGACACAGGUGGUCAGGUAGAGAAUACCAAGGCGCUUGAGAGAACUCGGGUGAAGGAACUAGGCAAAAUGGUGCCGUAACUUCGGGAGAAGGCACGCUGGUGUGUAGGUGAAGUCCCUGCGGAUGGAGCUGAGACCAGUCGAAGAUACCAGCUGGCUGCAACUGUUUAUUAAAAACACAGCACUGUGCAAACACGAAAGUGGACGUAUACGGUGUGACGCCUGCCCGGUGCCGGAAGGUUAAUUGAUGGGGUUAUCCGUAAGGAGAAGCUCUUGAUCGAAGCCCCGGUAAACGGCGGCCGUAACUAUAACGGUCCUAAGGUAGCGAAAUUCCUUGUCGGGUAAGUUCCGACCUGCACGAAUGGCGUAAUGAUGGCCAGGCUGUCUCCACCCGAGACUCAGUGAAAUUGAACUCGCUGUGAAGAUGCAGUGUACCCGCGGCAAGACGGAAAGACCCCGUGAACCUUUACUAUAGCUUGACACUGAACAUUGAGCCUUGAUGUGUAGGAUAGGUGGGAGGCUUUGAAGCGUGGACGCCAGUCUGCGUGGAGCCAACCUUGAAAUACCACCCUUUAAUGUUUGAUGUUCUAACGUUGGCCCCUGACCGGGGUUGCGGACAGUGUCUGGUGGGUAGUUUGACUGGGGCGGUCUCCUCCCAAAGCGUAACGGAGGAGCACGAAGGUUAGCUAAUCCUGGUCGGACAUCAGGAGGUUAGUGCAAUGGCAUAAGCUAGCUUGACUGCGAGCGUGACGGCGCGAGCAGGUGCGAAAGCAGGUCAUAGUGAUCCGGUGGUUCUGAAUGGAAGGGCCAUCGCUCAACGGAUAAAAGGUACUCCGGGGAUAACAGGCUGAUACCGCCCAAGAGUUCAUAUCGACGGCGGUGUUUGGCACCUCGAUGUCGGCUCAUCACAUCCUGGGGCUGAAGUAGGUCCCAAGGGUAUGGCUGUUCGCCAUUUAAAGUGGUACGCGAGCUGGGUUUAGAACGUCGUGAGACAGUUCGGUCCCUAUCUGCCGUGGGCGCUGGAGAAUUGAGGGGGGCUGCUCCUAGUACGAGAGGACCGGAGUGGACGCAUCACUGGUGUUCGGGUUGUCAUGCCAAUGGCACUGCCCGGUAGCUAAAUGCGGAAGAGAUAAGUGCUGAAAGCAUCUAAGCACGAAACUUGCCCCGAGAUGAGUUCUCCCUGAGACUUUAAGUCUCCUGAAGGAACGUUAAAGACGAUGACGUUGAUAGGCCGGGUGUGUAAGCGCAGCGAUGCGUUGAGCUAACCGGUACUAAUGAACCGUGAGGCUUAACCUUACAACGCCGAAG
rnacentral:rRNA from 1 species